rnacentral:lncRNA from 1 species
CCAGGGCUACGCUCAGCAAGCAUCAGGCGAGAGGAAGCCCUGCUAGUGCAGCAAUGACUCACCUGCUUCCUCCGAGCGAAUGAAACCCAGGAGCUUCUGGCAGAGGAUGAGGAGGAGGCACAGGCUGGAUUUGCAGAAGUGAGGCAGCCGGUGCUUUCCCAGCCAGGCCAGCAGAGCUGGGGGGCUGGGAUCCUGCAUUGCACCCCACGCCCAAGGAGAGGAUGAGGCAGUGAGCAAGGAGCUGACUCUUGCAUGGGGAUUAGGGUCAUCGCCGGCUUUGCUCUGCCUUUGCAAGCCCUCCGGUCACCACCCCUCAGCCACCCUUGACCCUGGCAGCACCUUCAAAGGCAGCAUGCUGCGGAGCCUGCAAUGUUUGCUCGCUUAUCGGGUGGGCAGCCUCCCACUGCGCUCCUGGGGACACCGCUUGGCCACCACUGCCCACGCAAGGUCAGUCCCCUGGCGCCGUGCUGAG